AUUGAACGCUGGCGGCAGGCUUAACACAUGCAAGUCGAGCGAGCGGCGGACGGGUGAGUAAUGUAUGGGGAUCUGCCUGAUGGAGGGGGAUAACUACUGGAAACGGUAGCUAAUACCGCAUACCAUCAGAUGAACCCAGAGUGGAUUAGCUGUUAGGUGAGGUAAAGGCUCACCUAGGCGACGAUCCCUAGCUGGUCUGAGAGGAUGACCAGCCACACUGGGACUGAGACACGGCCCAGACUCCUACGGGAGGCAGCAGUGGGGAAUAUUGCACAAUGGGAGCAAGCCUGAUGCAGCCAUGCCGCGUGUAUGAAGAAGGCCUUCGGUUUGUAAAGUACUUUCAGUGGGGAGGCGUUACCGACAGAAGAAGCACCGGCUAACUCCGUGCCAGCAGCCGCGGUAAUUC
rnacentral:rRNA from 1 species